AGUGUUUAGCAGUAAAACCAACACUUGAGUCAUACAAACAUUGAUUUAUUGUUUUUGAUUGACAUUCGAUUAAAAGCAUUGAGUGAUUGAUUGAGUAAUCAAUUUGUUUGAUCCAAUCGGCGAUAAUCUGAUCCAAAUAACAACAACAAAAACGAUGACUUGUUUUGUGUAUAUCUCCGGCCAACGUAUGGACGGACAGAGUCGUGAACUACGAGAGAUGUAUUUAUCGCAACUGAUGACAGAUGUUAUCAUUGAAUGCAUCGAUGGCUCAGUGAUGGCACACAAACUGGUAUUGUCUUCACUAUCGCAACGAUUGUAUCAAUUGUUGUCAAAGUGGUCGACCAGUCAGUUGAUUGUCAUUAUACUAAUGGAUACCAAAGUCGAUGACAUGAAAUCCAUUGUCGAUUGUGUUUACUUUGGCCACCAAUUGGUUGAUAUUAAACGUGUCAAUCAAUUACAACAAAUUGCUAAUACAUUUGGUCUACAAUUGAAGACAGAAGAAGUCGCUGAAGAAUCGCUCAAUUUUUCUCGUCAAUUGAUUCAAUACGACAUCAAUGGUCUCAUGCGUUAUCAUUCUGUUAACAACAACAACAACAACAGUCUCAUAGCGAGUGAUAGAAAGCGUCGUUUGAAAGACAAACCAAUUGAACCAAUGGAUCUAUCAAUAGAUCAACUACAAGAACUACCCAUCAAUUUGUCAUUAAGUUCAACAAACGAUAAAACUAAUAACGAGGACAACAUAAUGAAGACAAUUGAGUCGAUUGUGGCCAAUGGUCCGUCAAUUGCGGCCAUCAGUCAGCCUAUUGGACGCAAAAGACGCCGAAAGCAAUCCUAUCCGAAAACAGUUGUUAACAAAAACAAAGAAAAAUCUAUGGUCGCGAGUAAGCAUUUGAAUGUCUCCUCAAACGCAUCCAAUACUACAAAACAGCCCGAAGACUCUGUUGAAUUAUUGACCACAAAUAAUGCAAUUAUCACUCCAACACAUAAUCAAUCAUUAAAUGUUCUCAAAGAAGUUGCCAGUAUGUCAUUUGGUACUUAUUUGUCACCACAGAUACAGCCAUCGAUGGAACCAAUUGUAUUCGAUGUAAACAUGGAUUCAGUGAACGAUAACAACAAUUCACAAAAUAUGGACAAAGAAGUGGUGGACAAUCAAAUCUCAAAGGAAAAUAUAAUAUCCACUACUACUCAGUUGCCAUCAAAAGCGAUAAACGAUAAUACAAUUGAAUGUUCGCCGAUUGGUUGCGGACUUGCAGUUGCAGUCGUCGGUAACAACAAUAGUUGUCCCGUUUGUUUAAUACAGUUAACCGAUUCAAAAGAGUUGAUUAGUCACUUGAAUGCCGAACACAAGACCAACGGCCGAUUCAAGUGUUUCAACUGCGGUAAAGAACAGAAGUACGCAAAGACAUUGAUUAAACACUCCACUAAUUGUCGACAACAACUACAACAACAAAAUCCCUCACAAAAGAAAACUAACUAAUAAUUUCAUUCCUCAUCAGUGAUCAUCACUUUUUAAAGAAAACAAAAUAAAAAACAUACGUGACCCGUACUGUGACCAGAGAUGUCCACCGAG